CCCAGCCCAAUCAGCCGAACGCCGCACGAAAUAUACUUUAACAUACAUUCCUCAUAAAAGUCACGAAUAUAUAAGUGGGAAAAAGUACCAAAAGACCGGCGCUCCCGAAUGGCCUGGAAGUCCAGCGGUGUUCGUGCCAUCGAGUAGCCGAGUUUAGUUCCAGGCACUCGACGACCAAACACCGCUGGGCAAAAAGGGAAUCCAAGAUGGCCGCCACCUCGUGGUCGGUAGCCGAACGACGGCCACCCGGGGAAUCAAUUAACAGCCGAUAGAUACAUUGUUGCGAUCGGUUAAUGGGAGCCACACGACCCCCUGAAAAUCACUGUUCGUGAAACUACCAUAUGCAACGUAUACCCUUAAUGGAAGCGAAUUAGGGAUAACAACACACGAAAAGGACUUGGGAAUUGUUAUAAACAACAGACUAUGCAACAAUGUGCAAUGUCAAUCAGCAGUGGCCAAGGCCAGUAAG